CCAAUAGCGUAUAUUAAAGUUGUUGCAGUUAAAAAGCUCGUAGUUGAAUUUCGGGGUCAGUAGGUUGGUCGUGCCACAGGUAUGUACUGGCUUCACUGAUUCCUCCUUCUUGAAGAACUGUGAUGCCAUUAAUUUGGUGUUGCAGGGAAACAGGACUGUUACUUUGAAAAAAUUAGAGUGUUUAACGCAGGCUAACGCUUGAAUACAUUAGCAUGGAAUAAUGAAAUAGGACGUGGAUCCUAUUUUGUUGGUUUCUAGGAUUAACGUAAUGAUUAAUAGGGAUAGUUGGGGGCAUUAGUAUUCAAUUGUCAGAGGUGAAAUUCUUGGAUUUAUUGAAGACUAACUACUGCGAAAGCAUUUGCCAAGGAUGUUUUCAUUAAUCAAGAACGAAAGUUAGGGGAUCGAAGACGAUCAGAUACCGUCGUAGUCUUAACCAUAAACUAUGCCGACUAGGGAUCGGAUGAUGUUAAUUUUUUAAUGACUCAUUCGGCGCCUUACG
rnacentral:rRNA from 1 species